rnacentral:lncRNA from 1 species
GAAAAGUUCGUUUUUUGCGGACUUUUUCCUACCUUAGAUGGAUACGGAUCCAACCAAACAGUGUGAAGCUCUCUAAUUUUACUCCCCAAACUUUCUUUUUUUUCUUUGAGAGCUCCAAACAUUCUCUCUGUGUGUUUGUUCAUUAGCUCAAACGAGGGUUUUUUAUUGGGGCUGCAGCAAUCGAGAGAACGAAGCACAUUCAUUUUGAGGUAACCUUCGAGAAUUUGAUUUGCGUUAGAUAAUUUUGAGUUGUGGUUCCCAUUUAGUUCAGCCACGCUUGAUUAGGUUUAGAGAUUUUAAUUUUGCCAUGAAAAAAUCAAAGAGAAGUAAAGCUGAGGAUCGACUCAGCGAGUUGCCGGACUCAGUAAUAUUUCAGAUAUUGUGGUUGUUGCCGAUGACAGAUGUGGUUAGGACAAUAAUUCUAUCCAAGCGCUGGAGAAACCUUUGGACCACCACCCCGUUCCUUAAUUUCGACAAUGAAGCUAUGUCGAUUAAUGAUAAUGAUAAUGAUGAUAGACUUCUGAAAUUCGUUAAUCGGGCUUUAUUAUGCUGGAACGGGAUCAGGGUUUUGAAAUUCAAGUUCGUUUCGCGCCAGCAGCUCUAUGAUUCAACAUACAGUGAUAUUAAUUUGUGGGUCAGCUUCGCUAUGAGAAAUAGAGUCGAAGAUUUAUAUUUAAAUGUGUACUGCGAAAGUGUAUCAGGAAUGGAUGGCGGUAAGAAUGAUGUGUACUGGGUGCCGCAGUUUCUCUUCUCAUGCCCGUCUCUUAAAGAGUUAACACUCAUAGAUUGUAACAUCGAUAUUUCUGGGGAUGUGCAGUGGAAUCAGCUCAAGAGUUUGAGGAUUGAAGGCUUCAGGGUCACUGCACAUGUGAUUGACCAAAUAUUGAUUGGUACCCCUCAGUUGACAGUCUUUAUCUUGAGAUUUGCAGAUGUAGGUGAAAGCUUGAGUAUCCAAUCUAGUAGUUUGAAAGAGCUGUCGAUUGACAAGUACUUUUUGACAUAUGAAGAUUUAUGGACGUUUUCGGAGCUCAGAAUUUGGACCCCAAAUCUUGAAACAUUAGAAAUUAAAGGAAUUCCAUAUAGCAAGUGUAUGCUGAUUGAUGUAUUGUCUUUAACCCGUGCAACUAUUGGGUUAUCCGGUCUAGAACAUUGUGAUCAGGAUGAUGCUCUCUUACGUGGGAUCAAGUUUGAGGACGGCUUAUUUUCUGGGAAUGAUUUUCAAGGAAACACAUUGAGUCAAAUUAUUACAACCAUUCAACAUGUUGAAAAUGUCAAAUUAUUGAAAUGUUGCAUCAAGGUUUGAUUUCUUUGCAUUUUCUUCUAUGGCUUACAUUUAUUGUACACUGAUAGAAUGGAAUAGUUUGUAUGUAGAGAUAAGAUAAUUGCAUGAUAAAAAUUUCAACAUUUAUCAAGAGCAUUCUCUAAUCAUGUUCCCUUUCUAACUUCAAUGUGCAUGUCAACUUAGCUGGUAUAAAUGGCUUCUUUAUGUAUGACCUAGUGGGUUUUGCAUUCUCUGUCAUAGCUUCUAACCAAUUACGCUCAACUGAAGCUAGGUAAACUAUCAUGCCUAUGACUUGUAUGAUAGUAUUGUAGUAACAACAGAUGGUAAGGAAUUAUCCAAAAAAAAAAGUAGUUCUACUUGAAUGGUCUGAUCAUUGGUAUUGUUUUCUUAAUGUUUUCUUUGUUACAUCAAUGGCCUCUUUAUGUUUGACACAGUAAGGUUUUGCCUCUUUGUCAUUAGCUUUUAACCGAUUGCAGCACUGUAGCUAGGUAAAAUAUCAUGGUUGUGAUUUGUAUGUUUCCAUUGUAAUAACCACAAAUGAUAAGGAAUCAGUGCCAUUGUUUUAAUUCGACAAAUUUUCUAUUUUCUAUAGCACCCCUAAAAUUAAUGCUUGCACUUUAUUUUUCUUGGUGUUUGCUUCAUUCACCUCUAUUAGUAAUAUAAUCACACACACUUAUUGUUAUACCAGGUGCUCGGAGUAUUGAAAAGGAAAUGUAUGCAUUCAUCUUUUCCUAAUGUCAAAUCCCUAGAGCUUAGUUGUUGUUUCAAUGACUAUGAACAAAUAGUAAAUCAUCUUGAGAUUUUCCCUCAAUUGGAGAGGUUAGUCCUUGAAGGCGUUAGAAGAGAUGACUACAAAGACAAAGAGUCACUCAAGUUUGAAGCAAAUCUCCCUAAUUCCUUUCUUAUGCAGUUGAGGACAAUUGAGGUUACUUGGUUUAAUGGUUACAGUAUGUUUCCAUUAAUAGAGAUUUUGUUGAAAUAUGCGAGCAAGCUAGAAAGGAUGGUGUUCAGAGUAGAAAAAUCAAUAUUUGCACCAUCACCGCUAUCUUCUUUGUUGUUGGCAUCACAAACACUGUUGAGAAUGUCAAGAUCAUCACCCAACUGCAAAAUUGAUUUCUAUGAUUGUAGGAAUGCACGCGACUCCUAGUAAUUGAUCGUCUUCUUUUAAGGACAUAGCUUUCGUCCAAUCUUUUCUUUAAAUAUUUUGCAACUUUGAGCUGGAUAGCUCGAUUUCUCUUUUCUUAAUUCGGCUAUGUGUCUUGUUUCAAUUUUAUUUUUGUUUGCUUCAUUUUGGGAUUGUAUUUUACUUUUCAUUUUGGGAUUAUAUUUUGCUUAUUUAGGGCAGUAGAUCAAUUUCACACUUUUGAAUUAAGUUGAUGCUCUUUUGAUAUGUAGCACAGUUACCUUCUUACUGCUGUGAAUGAAACUACCUAUGAAGCCUAGGUUAUUAUGUAUGUUGCUUUACUUCCCAAUGUCAUUAGCCUCAGUAUUAGUUUCAGAAUUGGAAUCAGAAAAACUAUGAAAAUUUUGGGAAAUGCCAGUUUAUGUUUAUCUAAUAUUGUACAUAUAUUCUCUUCAAAAAAAUAUAUAUAUAUAUUGCACAUUUACACCUUGCUACUUUGCUACCUUACAUAUUGGUUAUUGACUAAUUACCACAUUUAAAGGUUUAGUUUGGCAGCAUAUAAAACAAGGAAGUAACCAACAUAUCCUAUAAGCAAACAAUAGCCCCAAGUGGUCUACUGGUAAUCCAAGAUUCCAAAGUCAUUGUCGGUAUAGCCAAUUAGCUUACAGUCAACUUCUUUUACAUAUUUCAUGCUUACAUGAAAAUUUCUCCUACAAAUUUGCUUCAUUUGAAAUUUUAAGGUAGUACUAGAACGUCCACUCGUGCGAUGCACGACGAACAUCGAAAUUAAUGAUAUAUUUAAAUAAAUAUAAAAUAUAUUUUAAAAAUAAAAUAAAAUAAAAUAAUUCACGUCAAUUAUUCAAUAAAAUCUUGAAUUUAAAAAUUAUAUUAACAACUUUGCAUAAAGUAUAAUAAAAAUUAUUCAAUAACAAAAAUUAGCAUUUACACAUUAUUAUUAUAGAGUUACGCGUCAUAAUAAAUAUUUUCAUAUACAAACAUAAAUAAAAAGUUAUAAAAUUUUAAUGAAAAGAGAGAAAAUAAAAUAUUUAAUGAAAAGAGAGAAAAUAAAAUAUUUUAAAAUUUUCAUAACAUAUUCAUUUUAAAUUUAUUUUUGAUGUUUUUAUACAAUAGUAUUAAAUUUAAGGUGCAUAUUGAAAAAAAAUCAUGAAUUAAAUUUGACAAUAUUUACAAAAGAAUUAAAUUAUGAAAAACUAAAAGAAAAAAUUGAUGAAAGAAAGAGAGGGAAAAACUCCUCUUUUAUAUAUUAUAUAGAUUUCUUAGUUCUCAAAUUCAUAGUCUCGAAUUCAUCCAUAAGCUUGCAAUUUACAUUAGCUGACUUAAUGUCGAAUUGAAAUACUUGAAACUGUUAUUUUUACUAGCAAAAAUUUGUAUUUUAACUAUUAGGUCAAGUAAUUAUUGUCUUAAAAAAAAGUAAUUAUUGAUAGGAAGAAAUUUAAUGUUUCAAAAUUAUUAACUUCUUGCACGACAAUUGUUAUUUUUAUACAAGAGAACUUGUACUCAAUUUAAGUUAUUUGGUCAAAUAAUUAUUGUCGUAAGAAAUGUAAUAAAUGCAAUAUUUUUUUCAGAAUUAUUGAUAGGAGUAAUUGAUAUGAAUAAAUGCAAUAUUUUUUUUAAAAAAGCAUAAAUAAAUGGAAAAAAAGGAAAAAAAAAUUGAGGGGAGAAAAGAAGAAAUUAUUGUCUUAAGAAAAAGUAAUUAUUAGUGUCAAUAAAUGUAAUAUUUCAGAAUUAUUAAUUUUUAAUGAUAAUUAUUAUUUUACUUACGAAAAUUUGUAUUUUUAAUUAUUUGGUCAAGUAAUUAUUGUUGUAAGAAAAAAUAACCAUUGAUAUGAAUAAAGGUAAUAAAUUUAAAAGGCAUAAAUAAAUAAGAAAAAAAUGCAUGCUGAAAAAAUAGAAAAAAUGCUGAAGAAAAAGAUAAAUGAAAAAGCACAAAAAAAGAAGAAGAAGAAACGCUGACCCGUUUCUUCCAUAACUUGAGUUCAUAAGAGCAUCUCCAAUGCAUGGUGUCUUAGAUGGUGGUCCCCACCUAAGACACACCCCUCUCCAAUUCAUUGGUGCUUAGAGGGUGUCUUAGAUUUUCAUUUCCACAAAAUUCAUAUUUCUACACUUUUAUUUUUAAAUUCCCAAUUUCAUUAAAAAUAAAAUUAAACAUUACAAUAAUUAAAAUAAAAUUAAAAACAUAAUUAAAAUACGAUAAUAAAAUAAAAAAUAACAAUAAUUUCCUAAUUUAAAUAAACCCUCGACGCUUGAGCACUUCUUGGACUAGAUGGUUGUGCAAGGCCAUUUUUUUUAAAAAAAAUUGCAACGGCUUUUUCAAAUUUAAAAAAUAGAAUUUCGAUUUUUUUUUAAUUGGGCGCGUCCUCCGGACGUGCCACGCAUUUCUCGCCUUCGACCCGUGUCUUGGCUAAGACACGGCCUCGCAUCAGGGCGCGUCUUCAGUGCAGCCUCCCCCCCUUCGACCCGGAUCGAUCCUCCACUCGCACCGGCGAGUGGAGAUGCUCUAAGAGACUAACUCCCUAUAAAAAUAUAUAAUCCCAUAAUGACUUAUCCCUCCCAAUAAACAAUCCUUGGAAUUCAUAGCCAAAAAAAUUAGAAAGACAUUUAAUCCCAUCAACCAAAAGACAUUGAAAGAUUUGUAAAUUUAAUGUCGUGUUUGCUUUGAAGUAUAAGAAAUGGAUAAACUACAUUCAUCACCUUAUAGUUUAUUUAUUUUGAUGUAUGAAAAAAUUUGAGCAAGUUGUAUACUUUUUUGAGCUACUCUUUACUCUUUGAAAAAUAUAGGAGUAUAAUUUUAUACCUAAAAGAGGUGAUAAUUUUUCACAAUUCGUAACCUUGUUGGAUGAAUUCAUACGCAUUCUACAUAAAAUUUGUACAUUAAAAAAAAAAAUAUAUUUUAAGAAGUAUUUUCACGGUACCCCUUCCCUAGUUAUAUAUACAUUCAAGAAUAUUCCUAUAAAAGUACUAUAAAUUAUUUAUUAUAAAUUUUAAAUAAAAAUAUAUGAUGUUAAAUUUGGAGUCAAAUUUAAAAAUGGCCUAUUUUCUAUAAACAAAAUUAAAAUUUGUCCACUUAUUUUAAAAUUUUUAAAAUUGAUCACUGUUACGGUUUUAUCCUCCACUUUAAAAACAAAAAAAUUAUCAAAUCAAUUUACUUUGACGUUCAGCCUUUAAUUUAUCACAAUUAUUUAAAAUCUGCCUUCCCGCCGGAUUGUCGUCGCCGGGCCAUCGCCUCACCGCCGCGCCACCGUCUACGGGCUAUAAAAAUCUCAUAUUUUGAAAAAGUUGGUUUUAUGCAGACCUUUUUUCUUCCUUAGAUGAAUACGAGUCCAACCAAACUCUCUUUUGGACCUUGUGUUACACGCGCUUCAGAUGGCCGUUCGAUCGUGCUACAAGUUGCCCGCGCGCGUCAGUGUGAAGCUCUCCAAUUUUACUCCCCAAACACUCUCGCUCCCCAUUGCACUUCAACAUUCUCCCCAAAAAAAAUUCUACUGUAGAAGCUCGUAUAUGUACUGGAAAAUGAAGUUUGGGAUGGGAAUCUCAACUUGAUUUGAUGCUUUGGCGGCGCUACAAUGCCUAUUGAGUUCUGUGUGUUUUGUUCAUUAGCUCAACGAGGGAUUUUUUUGGGGCUGCAGCAAUCGAGACAAACGAAGCAUAUUCAUUUUGAGGUAAUCUUCGAGAAUUUGAUUUGUUCGCAAUUCGAAUAUGCUUAGUUAAUUUUGAGUUGUGGUAGUUCGCCGAUGCUUGAUUAGGUUUAGAGGUUUUAAUUUUGCCAUGAAACAAUCAAAGAGAAGUGACCGACUCAGCGAGUUGCCCGAGUCAGCAAUAUUUCACAUAUUGUGGUUUUUGCCGNGUAAAAAAAUACAAGGUCAGCUAAUCAAGUCACACCAGUUUGGCCUCCUGACUCAAUAUGAUCCCCUUCUAUAAGGUCAGCUAUCAGGUCACCCUCACUAUGGAUGCUCUAAUAAUAAGAAACUUCUGCAAUAGAAAACUUUGCUUUAAUAUGUAUAUAGAAUAUAGAUAGAUUGGACCAAUCAAAAUUAAGCAAUGAGAAUCAGUCGAAGCAAGUCGUGUCAUUCACACUGUGAAAGUUGCUUUCAAAGAGAUUGAUGAUAACUUUACUAAAUUAGGCUACAUGUGGAAUUCUUGGUCGGAUUAUCUGAUUCUCCGGGCAGUGGGUGUUACUACCAGGAGUGCUCCUCCUCCCGAGUUUGUGGAGGUGCAUUGGUGGCCACCUGUGGCGCCGUGGAUCAAAGUGAAUACUGAUGGCUCGGCGACGGGAGCUCCAGGCACUAUUGCUGCAGGUGGGGUGUUUAGAGAUAACUGGAAUGUGGUGCGUGGUUGUUUUCACUUCAAAGGUGGCUCGAGUUUUGCCUUUGAAGCGGAACUCCUGGCUGUUAUCUCGGCGAUUCAAAUUGCUCACAAUCGUGGAUGGCACAAGCUUUGGAUUGAAGCCGAUUCCACCUACGUGAUAUCCAUUCUUAAUUCUCGUUCUUUAAAUGUGCCUUGGCGUUUUAAGGCGGCGUGGAAUAGGAUUUUAGAGAUGUUAGAUGCUUUCUCGCUGCAGGUUUCUCACAUCUUUAGAGAAGGAAACAAGGCGGCAGAUUUAAUGGCUAACCAACAACGUUCGGAAGGGUGGUGGCCGCACGAGAUUGAGGAGAUUAGGGCUGCGGUUCGCCUGGACAUGGCAUCGCAUAGCCAUCUGCGUCAGAAACGGUAGUUGGGGCUGAUGGGUUGUUGUUUGCUAUUGAUCACGGAGUUGACAUAUACCCGGAUAUUUUUGCUCUCGUUUUUCUUUGUUUGGGUUUGCUCUUCUUACGGCAACGGCGUCUAACCGACCGCUUAGUUUUUCCGUGGGGUGAGAGCCGGGAUAGUUUGGGGACGAUGGUUAGGCCGGAGUUCCGGAAACUUUCCCUUCCGCUCUUCCCUACUUUCGUUUUGUGUUUAGACGAGUACUCUUUUUCCUUUUCACGGUUUUUCCCACUGGGUUUUCCGUGAAAAGGUUUUAAUGAGGUUCGGCCCCUAGUCUGCUCCUUCUGUGCUUUCAAGGGUUUUUUUGGAUUUUUUUUUCUUUUCUUUUUUAUAUAUAAAAUCGUCAUUUAAUAAUAUAUAUAUUCAAGAAUAUUCCUAUAAAAGUACUAUAAAUUCUUUAUUAUAAAUUUUAAAUAAAAAUAUAUGAUGUUAAAUUUGGAGUCAAAUUUAAAAAUGGCCUAUUUUCUAUAAUAGUAAAAAUUAAAAUUUGUCCACUUAUUUUAAAAUUUUUAAAAUUGAUCACUGUUACGGUUUUAUCCUCCACUUUAAAAACAAAAAAAUUAUCAAAUCAAUUUACUUUGACGUUCAGCCUUUAAUUUAUCACAAUUAUUUAAAAUCUGCCUUCCCGCCGGAUUGUCGUCGCCGGGCCAUCGCCUCACCGCCGCGCCACCGUCUACGGGCUAUAAAAAUCUCAUAUUUUGAAAAAGAUGGUUUUAUGCAGACCUUUUUUCUACCUUAGAUGAAUACGAGUCCAACCAAACUCUCUUUUGGACCUUGUGUUACACGCGCUUCAGAUGGCCGUUCGAUCGUGCUACAAGUUGCCCGCGCGCGUCAGUGUGAAGCUCUCCAAUUUUACUCCCCAUUGCACUUCAAAAAUUUCCCCAAAAAAAUUUCCUUCAACAUUUUCCCCAAAAAAAUUUCUACUGUAGAAGCUCGUAUAUGUACUGGAAAAUGAAGUUUGGGAUGGGAAUCUCAACUUGAUUUGAUGCUUUGGCGGCGCUACAAUGCCUAUUGAGUUCUGUGUGUUUUGUUCAUUAGCUCAACGAGGGAUUUUUUUGGGGCUGCAGCAAUCGAGACAAACGAAGCAUAUUCAUUUUGAGGUAAUCUUCGAGAAUUUGAUUUGUUCGCAAUUCGAAUAUGCUUAGUUAAUUUUGAGUUGUGGUAGUUCGCCGAUGCUUGAUUAGGUUUAGAGGUUUUAAUUUUGCCAUGAAACAAUCAAAGAGAAGUGACCGACUCAGCGAGUUGCCCGAGUCAGCAAUAUUUCACAUAUUGUGGUUUUUGCCGAUGACAGAUGUGGUUAGGACAAUAAUUCUAUCCAAGCGCUGGAGAAACCUUUGGACCACCACCCCGUUCCUUAAUUUCGACACUGAAGCUAUGUCGUUUGAUGAUUAUGAUAGUGAUAAUGAUGACAGACUUCUCAAGUUCGUUAAUCGGGCUUUAUUAUGCUGGAAUGGGAACAGGGUUUUGAAAUUCAAGUUCGUUUCGCGUCAGCAGCUCAUUGAUUCUACAUAUAGUGAUAUUAAUUUGUGGGUCAGUUUCGCUAUGAGAAAUAGAGUCGAACAAUUAUAUUUAAAUGUGUACUGCGAGAGUUCAUCAGGAAUGGAUGGUGGUAAGAAAAAUGUGUACUGGGUGCCACAGUUUCUCUACUCAUUCCCGUCUCUUAAGGAGUUAACACUCAUAGAUUGUAACUUGGAGAUUUUUGGGGAUGUACAGUGGAAUCAACUCAAUAGUUUGAGGAUUGAAGGUUUCAAAGUCACUGCACGUGUGAUUAACCAAAUCUUGAAUGGUACCCCUCGGUUGAGAGUCUUUAUCUUGAGAUUUGCAGAUGCAGGUGAAAGCUUGAGUAUCCAAUCUAGUAGUUUGAAAGAGCUGUCGAUUGACAAGUACUUUUUGACACAUCAUGAUUUAUGGACGUUUUCGGAGCUGAGAAUUUGGACCCCAAAUCUUGAAACAUUGGAAAUCAAAGGAAUUCCAUAUAGCAAGUGUAUGCUGAUUAAUGUCUCGUCUUUAACCCGUGCAACUAUUGGGUUAACCGGUCUAGAACAUUGUGAUCAGGAUGAUGAUCCCUUACGUGGAAUCAAGUUUGAGCACGGCUUAUUUUCUGGGGAUGAUUUUCAAGGAAACACAUUGAUUCAAAUUAUUACAACCAUUCAACAUGUUGAAAAUGUCAAAUUAUUGAAAUGUUGCAUCAAGGUUUGAUUUCUUUUCAUUUUCUUCUAUUACAUGUACACUGAUAGAAUGGAAUAGUUUGUAUGUAGAGAUCAGAUAAUUGCAUGAUAAAAAUUUCAACAUUUAUCAAGAGCAUUCUCUGAUCAUGUUCCCUUUCUAACUUCAUUGUACAUGUCAACUUAGCUUGUAUAAAUGGCUUCUUUAUGUAUGGCCUAGUAGGUUUUGCAUUCUAUGUCAUUAGCUUCUAACCAAUUGCGCACCACUGAAGCUAGGUAAAUUAUCAUGCCUGUGACUUGUAUGAUAGUAUUGUAAUAACAACAAAUGAUAAGGAAUUAUCCAAAAAAAAAGUAUUUCUACUUUGAAUGGUCUGAUUAUUGGUCUGAAAUUGACCAAUGAUUGCUUAAUGUUUUCUUUGUUGCAUCAAUGGCCUGUUUAUGUUUGACACAUUAGGUUUUGCUGUAUUUGUCAUUAGCUUUUAACCGAUUUCAGCACUAUAGCUAGGUAAAAUAUCAUGCUUGCGAUUUGUAUGUUUCCAUUGUAAUAAUCACAAAUGAUAAGAAAUUAAUGAGAUUCUUAUAAUUCAAGGGAUAUUCUAUUUUCUAUAGCACCCCUUGAAUUAAUGCUUGCCUUUUAUCUUGUAAUUCUAAAAAAAAAAAAGCUUGGCUUUUAUCUUUCUUGGUGUUUGCUUCAUUCAGCUCCCCUUAUUAUGAAUAUAAUCAUACUUAUUGUUAUACCAGGUGCUCGAAGUAUUGAAAAGGAAAUUUAUGCAUUCAUCUUAUCCUAAUGUCAAAUCCCUAGAGCUUAGUUGUUGUUUCAAGGACUAUGAACAAAUAGUAAAUCAUCUUGAGAGUUUCCCUCAAUUGGAGAGGUUAGUCCUUGACGGCGUUACGAGGAUUUACUCCAAAGAUGACCAACAGUCACUCAAGUUUGAAGCAAAUUUUCCUAAUUCCUUUCUUAUGCAGUUGAGGACAGUUGAGGUUAUUUGGAAUUAUGGUUACAUUAUGUUUCCAUUAAUAGAGAUUUUGUUGAAAUAUGCGAGAAAGCUAGAAAGGAUGGUGUUCCGAGUAGAAGAAUCGGAAUUUCUACCGUCGUCAAAUUCUUUGUUGUUGUUGGCAUCACAAAAACUGUUGAGAAUGUCAAGAUCAUCACCCAGCUGCAAAAUUGAUUUCUAUGAUUGUAGGAAUGUACAUAACUCCUAGUAAUUGGCUGGGGAGCUCGAUUUCUCUUUCUUCAUUCGGCUAUGUGUCCUGUUUCAAUUUAAUUUCCUUGUUUGUUUCAUUUUGGGAUUGUAUUUGACUUAUUUAGGGCAGUAGAUGGAUUUGACACUUUUGGAUUAAGUUGAUGCUUAUUUGAUAUGUAGUGCACUGUUGUGAAUGAAACUACUGAUGAAGCCUAGGUUAUUAUGUAUCUUGCUUUACUUCCC